rnacentral:rRNA from 1 species
AUUGAACGCUGGCGGCAUGCCUUACACAUGCAAGUCGAACGGCAGCACGGGAGCAAUCCUGGUGGCGAGUGGCGAACGGGUGAGUAAUAUAUCGGAACGUGCCCAGUCGUGGGGGAUAACGUAGCGAAAGCUACGCUAAUACCGCAUACGAUCUAUGGAUGAAAGCGGGGGAUCGCAAGACCUCGCGCGAUUGGAGCGGCCGAUAUCAGAUUAGGUAGUUGGUGAGGUAAAGGCUCACCAAGCCGACGAUCUGUAGCUGGUCUGAGAGGACGACCAGCCACACUGGGACUGAGACACGGCCCAGACUCCUACGGGAGGCAGCAGUGAGGAAUAUUGGACAAUGGGCGCAAGCCUGAUCCAGCCAUGCCGCGUGCAGGAUGACGGUCCUAUGGAUUGUAAACUGCUUUAUACAGGAAGAAACACUCCGACGUGUCGGAGCGUUGACGGUACUGUAAGAA